rnacentral:misc_RNA from 1 species
GAUGAAGAACGCAGCUAAAUGCGAUAAGUAAUGUGAAUUGCAGAAUUCAGUGAAUCAUCGAAUCUUUGAACGCACAUUGCGCCCCUUGGUAUUCCGAGGGGCAUGCCUGUUCGAGCGUCAUUUCAACCCUCAAGCACAGCUUGGUCUUGGGCUUCGCCGCUAACCCGGCGGGUCUUAAAAUCAGUGGCGGUGCCGUCGGGCCCUGAGCGCAGUAAUCUCUCUCGCUAUAGGGUCCCGGCGGAUGCUGGCCAGUAACCCCCAAUUUUCUAUGGUUGACCUCGGAUCAGGUAGGGAUACCCGCUGAACUUAAGCAUAUCAAUAAGCGGAGG